UACAGAGGUCUCGAGCGUUGUUCGGAUUCAUUGGGCGUAAAGGGUGCGUAGGUGGCGGAGUAAGUCUGGUGUGAAACCCCGGGGCUCAACCCCGGAACUGCACAGGAUACUGCUUUGCUAGAGUACUGGAGAGGAGAUUGGAAUUUACGGUGUAGCAGUGAAAUGCGUAGAUAUCGUAAGGAAGACCAGUGGCGAAGGCGAAUCUCUGGACAGUUACUGACACUGAGGCACGAAGGCCAGGGGAGCAAACGGG
rnacentral:rRNA from 1 species